rnacentral:lncRNA from 1 species
GAACCCACAGGCAGGAACCAACUCCGGACACAAUGGGAAGCAAAUCCUAGGAACAAUCACGUGAGCUUGGAAGGAGACCUUUCCCCAGCUGAGCCUCAGCCUGGGCCAUCACCUGCAUCUGGACUGAAGACCCAAAGAAACUACUCCAUCAGGAAUUGUUUGAGACCAUGCAUUAUGUGGACACUCAUAUCGUGGAAUUAUAUUGCCAAUUGGCAUUCCUAAAGCUUCUACGCUAGCAGGUUUGGAGUAAUUCACCAGUGAAGUCUUCUCAACCUGGGCAAUCAUGUGAGCUUGGAAGAUGAUGCAUCCCCAUCUCAUCUUUCAGGUGAAACCUCAGCCUUGGCCAUCACCUACAUCUGGAUUUCUGACCCAGAGAAACUGCUGGAGUACAGUGGCAUGAUUUCAGCUUACCGCAAACUCUGCCUCCUGGAUUCAAACCAUCCUCCGGCCUCAGCCUCCUGAGUAGCUGGGGCAACAGGUGUGAAGGCUGGUCUUAAACUCCUGACCUCAAGUGAUGGACCUGUCUUGGCUUCCAAAAGUGCUGGAAUUACAGGCAUGAGCCACCAUGCCCUGCUAUGAGGUCUUGUUCCUUUGGCCAGGCUGGAGUGCAGUGGCACAGUCAUCACUCACUGUAGCUUCAAACACCUGGGUUCCAGCAUUCAUCCCACUUCAGCCUCCCGUGUAGCCGGGACUACAGGUACAAGCCACCACACCCAGCUAUCCACAGCCAUAAUCUUUA